rnacentral:misc_RNA from 1 species
UGGAUUGCUUCGUCGCUGCGCUCCUCGCAAUGACGAAGGGCGGCCUAUCGCUUCGCUUCGAUAUGCUUCUCGAAGACGAUGUUGCCCUUGUCGUUCUUCACGAUGUUGUAGCCGUGAAGGCCAUCCCCGUUUUCAUCGAAGUUGUAUUGACCUUCCGCGCCUUCGAAUCCCUUGAUCGCCAGGAUCGCAGUGCGAACCUUCUCCGGCUCGGUGGACUUUGCC